rnacentral:pre_miRNA from 1 species
AACCUACUCCCUCCGUUCUGAAUUACUUGUCUUUGAUUUGUCUAGAUACGGAUGUAUCUAGACUCAUUUUAGUGCUAGAUACCUUUGUAUCUAGACAAAUCUAAGACAAGUAAUUUGGAACGGAGGGAGUAGCUG